rnacentral:rRNA from 1 species
GUGGGGAAUUUUGGACAAUGGGCGCAAGCCUGAUCCAGCAAUGCCGCGUGCAGGAAGAAGGCCUUCGGGUUGUAAACUGCUUUUGUCAGGGAAGAAAUCUUCUGGGCUAAUACCCCGGGAGGAUGACGGUACCUGAAGAAUAAGCACCGGCUAACUACGUGCCAGCAGCCGCGGUAAUACGUAGGGUGCGAGCGUUAAUCGGAAUUACUGGGCGUAAAGCGUGCGCAGGCGGUUAUGUAAGACAGAUGUGAAAUCCCCGGGCUCAACCUGGGAACUGCAUUUGUGACUGCAUGACUGGAGUGCGGCAGAGGGGGAUGGAAUUCCGCGUGUAGCAGUGAAAUGCGUAGAUAUGCGGAGGAACACCGAUGGCGAAGGCAAUCCCCUGGGCCUGCACUGACGCUCAUGCACGAAAGCGUGGGGAGCAA